rnacentral:rRNA from 1 species
GACGAACGCUGGCGGCGUGCUUAACACAUGCAAGUCGAGCGGUAAGGCCCUUUCGGGGGUACGACGAGCGGCGAACGGGUGAGUAACACGUGGGUGACCUGCCCUCAGCUCUGGGAUAAGCCUGGGAAACUGGGUCUAAUACCGGAUAUGACUCCAUGACGCAUGUUGUGGGGUGGAAAGCCUUGUGCGGCUGAGGAUGGGCCCGCGGCCUAUCAGCUUGUUGGUGGGGUGAGGCCUACCAAGGCGACGACGGGUAGCCGGCCUGAGAGGGCGACCGGCCACACUGGGACUGAGACACGGCCCAGACUCCUACGGGGAGGCAGCAGUGGGGAAUCUUGCGCAAUGGGCGAAAGCCUGACGCAGCGACGCCGCGUGAGGGAUGACGGCCU